AAGUCGUAACAAGGUUUCCGUAGGUGAACCUGCGGAAGGAUCAUUAUCAUAAUCCGAAACUUUUUUUAAUAUUCGAAAGGAUAUUAAAAAAUAUCAACCAACCGUGAACUGUUUUGCCUCCAAUAGGGGAAAAGAAUUGGCUCUUUAACUGGGGCUUUAGUAUUUUCUUUUAUUGGUUGUAUUUUUUUUAAUUUUAUUAUUAACCCUUCUAACAAAACAUUUUAAACUUAAUUCUGAACUGAAUUAAUUUUCUUUUUUCCUUUCGAGGAAAAACUAAAAUAAAAUACGAAAAAUUAUAAGAACAACUCUUAGCAACGGAUAUCUUGGUUCUC
rnacentral:misc_RNA from 1 species